UCCGUGGCUCACAGAGCGGACUGCUCUCGUGUCUUUACCCGCUGCUCCCUCUGGUGUGUUGGGUCGGUUUUUCGGUGAUGGGGGUCCGUACCGGUCCGUGCCGCUCCCUGCUGCCCUGGCUGCUGCUGCUGGUCUUGGCGGCCCCACCUCUGAGCGCCUGGGACGCGGACCUGGAGCUGCUGGACCUGGUGGAGGAGAUCCCGCAGACCUUCUACCAGUUCCUAAACCUGGACCAGGACGCCUCCCCAGCAGAGAUCAAGAAGGCGUAUCGUCGUCUGUCUCUGAUCCUGCAUCCUGACAAGAACAAAGAUGAAAACGCUGAAACUCAGUUCAGACAGCUGGUGGCCAUUUAUGAAGUCCUGAAGGACGAGGAGAGACGACGCAGGUACGAUGACAUCCUGGUGAACGGGCUUCCUGAUUGGAGGCAGCCAGUCUUCUACUACAGACGGGUGAGGAAGAUGAGCAACGCAGAGCUGGGCUUCCUCCUCUUCCUCAUCCUCACCGUGGGACACUACGCCGUCAUCUGGUCCAUCUACCUGGAGAAGCAGCUGGACGAGCUGCUGAGCAAGAAGAAGAAGGAGAAGAAGAAGAAGCUGAGCUCCAGACCAGCAGAGGAGCUCAGGUGUAUCGGUCAGGAGCGAGCCGACAGAGUUCAGGACCGACCUCACUGGCAGGACAUCCUCCCUCUGAAGCUCAGCAUCUGGCUUUACCUGUCCAUCAAAAACCUGCCGCACACCGUCCAGGAGGUGAAGCAGUACUAUGAAGACUACCAGCAGAUGAAGCAGCAGCAGAGAGAAGAAGCUGAAGCUGAAGCUGAAGCCGCUACUAGAGAGAAGAGGACGAAGGUGAAGAAGCCGAAGGUGGAGUUUCCAGUUUAUGAGCCAUCCUCAGAGACCAACUCCCAGAACUACGUCCAGACAACGUCCAUCGAGGAGAUCGAGGACCAGAUGGACGACUGGCUGCAGGACAGAAGAGCUGCCAAGAAGAAGGCUGCAGACUGGACGGAGGACGAGCUCAGCCUCCUCAGCAGGUUGAUGGUUAAAUUCCCAGGAGGAGCUCCGGGCAGAUGGGAGAAGAUCGCUCACGAACUGGGACGAUCGGUGGCUGACGUGACGACCAAAGUCAAACAGGUGAAAGACAACGUGAGCCACAGCUCAGGUCUGGUGAAGCUGUCGGAGCUGAAGGCCCCUCCCCUUGCUGUGGACGACAGAGUGAUGACUCAGAGGGUGGGCGGGGCCUGUGAGGAACAACAGGAGGAGGAGGAGGAGGAGGUGGUUCCAGCGAUCCGGAGAAGGAACAGGAAGUGUUCUGCAGCAGAUGGAGGGGAGGUGAAGGUCAGAGGUCGUCGGCAGAGAGACUUUGACCCAGCGGCGGCGGACGAAGCGGAGGCAGAGUCUCAGGAAAACAAAGACAAGGUGGACUCUGUCAUUUGGACUCAGAACCAGCAGAAACUGCUGGAACUUGCUCUGCAACAGUUUCCCAGAGGAACCACAGAACGCUGGGAUCGCAUUGCCAAGGUCGUUCCAGGAAAGACGAAGGAGGAGUGUGUGAUUCGCUACAAGCUGCUGGCUGAACUUGUCCAGAAGAGGAAACAGGCAAAGAGCUGAUGGGAGGUGAUGACCACUGACUUCGCCUCCUGACAGGUGAAGAAUUAGGCGACCUGCUGUGCUGCCUCCUGAUUGGACUGACUCAGUGUGCGUCUUUACCUGCUCAGAUAAUAUCUGAAAAUGAAGCAGCAGAAAAAUAAAAUCAGCUUUUAAAUGAUCCAAGAGUCUGAUUCGGUGUUUCUGUCACUGCUGUUAUUUACACACGUAUUUAUUUAUGUUUUUCAUUUCACACAUAAAA